rnacentral:rRNA from 1 species
GACGUACGCUGGCGGCGUGCUUAACACAUGCAAGUCGAACGAUGAAGAAGAGAAACGCGAACUUCGGUUCAAAUUUCACUUCGGAUUAGUGGCAGACGGGCGAGUAACGCGUGAGCAACCUACUUCUUACAAAGGGAUAGCCUCGGGAAACCGUGAUUAAUACCAUAUGACACAUUCAUAAGGCAUCUUAAGAAUGUUAAAGCUACGGCGGUAAGAGAUGGGGUCGCGUCCCAUUAGCUAGUGGGUGAGGUAACGGCACACCAAGGAGACGAUGCGUAACCGGGCUGGGAGGGGGAACGAUCAGAUUGGAACUGAGACACGGUCCAAACUCGUACGGGAGGCAGCGGUAGAGAGUAUUACACAAGGAAGGCAACUCUAGUGCAGCGACGCCGCGUGAGAGAUGAAGGGAUUCGUAUCGUAAAGCUCUGUUCUAUGAGAAGAAAAGGACUGUACCGUAGGAGAAAGCACCGGCUAAAUACGUG